GCGCAUGUAGUCUAGCCUGGUAGGACGAUGCCUUCCCAAGGCAUCAACUCGGGUUCAAAUCCCGGCAUGCGCA
rnacentral:tRNA from 1 species